rnacentral:rRNA from 3 species
UUUAUCGGAGAGUUUGAUCCUGGCUCAGGACGAACGCUGGCGGCGUGCCUAAUACAUGCAAGUCGAGCGGACAGAUGGGAGCUUGCUC